GACGGCGAGUGAAGCGGCAACAGCUCAAAUUUGAAAUCUGGCUCUUUUAGGGUCCGAGUUGUAAUUUGCAGAGGGCGCUUUGGCGUUGGCAGCGGUCCAAGUUCUUUGGAACAGGACGUCACAGAGGGUGAGAAUCCCGUACGUGGUCGCUAGCCUUCGCCGUGUAAAGCCCCUUCGACGAGUCGAGUUGUUUGGGAAUGCAGCUCUAAAUGGGAGGUAAAUUUCUUCUAAAGCUAAAUACUGGCCAGAGACCGAUAGCGCACAAGUAGAGUGAUCGAAAGAUGAAAAGCACUUUGGAAAGAGAGUCAAAUAGCACGUGAAAUUGUUGAAAGGGAAGCGCUUGCAGCCAGACUUGCCUGUAGUUGCUUAUCCGGACUUUUGUCCGGUGCACUCUUCUGCGGGCAGGCCAGCAUCAGUCUAGGCGGUUGGAUAAAGGUCUCUGUCAUGUACCUCUCUUCGGGGAGGCCUUAUAGGGGAGACGACAUGCAACCAGCCUGGACUGAGGUCCGCGCAUCUGCUAGGAUGCUGGCGUAAUGGCUGUAAGCGGCCCGUCUUGAAACACGGACCAAGGAGUCUAACAUCUAUGCGAGUGUUUGGGUGUCAAGCCCAGACGCGUAAUGAAAGUGAACGGAGGUGGGAACCCUUUGGGUGCACCAUCGACCGAUCCUGAUGUCUUCGGAUGGAUUUGAGUAAGAGCAUGGCUGUUGGGACCCGAAAGAUGGUGAACUAUGCUUGAAUAGGGUGAAGCCAGAGGAAACUCUGGUGGAGGCUCGCAGCGGUUCUGACGUGCAAAUCGAUCGUCAAAUUUGGGCAU
rnacentral:rRNA from 1 species